GACAGAGGUGCCGAGCGUUAGGCGGAAUCACUGGGCUUAAAGCGUGUGUAGGCGGGUCGUUAAGUGUCUUGUGAAAUCCCACCGCUCAACGGUGGAACCGCUGGGCAUACUGGCGAUCUUGAGCAGUCCAGGGGCGAGCGGAACAUGCGGUGGAGCGGUGAAAUGCGUAGAUAUCGCUUGGAACGCCGACGGUGAAAACAGCUCGCUGGGGACUCGCUGACGCUGAGACACGAAAGCCAGGGGAGCGAACGGG
rnacentral:rRNA from 1 species